UGUAUGUCUGGGGAGAUGGCUUGGAUUUUUAAUUGUUGAAAGAAGACCCCCAGUCAUACUGGAGAGAUGGCUUAGCUGUUAAAGGCUAGGCUCACAACCAAAAAUAUA
ensembl:miRNA